ACGAGUUGCAAAACUCCCAAACCCUUGUGAACCUUACCUAUACCGUUUCUUCGGCGGGCGGCUUCCGCCCUAACCUGCAACCCCUCGGGGACCGCAGACCCGCCGGAGGCACCUACACUCUUGAUUUUUGUUGGCCUCUCUGAGUACACUUUUAAAUAAGUCA
rnacentral:misc_RNA from 1 species